UGAAGAAGGUAUCUUUGGGUCUGGCGCUUGUCUAUGUUUCUUGGAACAGAACGUCACAGAGGGUGAGAAUCCCGUGCGAUGAGAUGAUCCAGACCUAUGUAAAGUUCCUUCGACGAGUCGAGUUGUUUGGGAAUGCAGCUCUAAGUGGGUGGUAAAUUCCAUCUAAAGCUAAAUAUUGGCGAGAGACCGAUAGCGAACAAGUACAGUGAUGGAAAGAUGAAAAGAACUUUGAAAAGAGAGUGAAAAAGUACGUGAAAUUGUUGAAAGGGAAGGGCUUGAGAUCAGACUUGGUAUUUUGUAUGUUACUUCUUCGGGGGUGGCCUCUGCAGUUUAUCGGGCCAGCAUCAGUUUGGACGGUAGGACAAUUGCGGUGGAAUGUGGCACGGCUUCGGUUGUGUGUUAUAGCCACUGUCGAUACUGCCAGUCUAGACUGAGGACUGCGGUUUUA
rnacentral:rRNA from 1 species